UGGAUCUAACUGAGUGCUGGCACUUCCUUGGUAUGCUGUUUCCAACAUGCAGUUCUUUAUCUCUGCAUAUACCAUGACCAUAGCCAAGUGGCACCAUGUCCCCCAAACUCGCCAAGCCUCCUGGACACAACACUUCAACAGAAGUUCUCAAAGCCCAUGUCUGUUUGAGGAGAUGGAGAGAAAAUUGGUCAUCUACACAGUUUUCACAUCUGAUGAUCAGAAUUGGAAGAGAAAGAUGCAACCAGAAUGCUACUAGCCAACAGAAGGAAGACUGAGGUUGUGCCCCACAGGCCCAACUGAAGAACUAUCCAAGCUGUGCACAAAGCUUAUGUCAUGGUAAGAACAAGCUGCAAAUUUCAAAUGAGAUGACAAGAAUGACAUCUGGAAACAUUUCCUGGCAAAGAGGGCAUUUCUUCUCUCAUUUCUCGGGACUUGUUCUCUGCUUACCUCUAUCUGCUCCAGCUUCACACUGGAAGAGCCUGGUCCCAGGUUUGGUGGCGAAACUAUGGUUAUUUGAGUCCCAGAGAACACCACCGUGGUCAAGUUUUUUUUCCUUUGGACUUCAGUGGGAACCUGAGUUAACUGACAUAAAUUUCUAACAGGUUCUAGUGAUGUCUUAGCAGCUCUUAUUGUUUUCUGUCUCAGGCCUACAUUUUCAGCUAACACAGAGUUCAAAUUGGGUCAUGUUUGGGAAGAACUGAUUUUUUCCUAAAGGAUUAUUCUAUACCAAUUGGCAAUUUUCAUUUCCUGGAGAUGAAAAUUUUAAAAUCAGAAUUCACUACUUGGUAUGGUAAUCUAGCUUGACUUCAUCAGGGACAGAAAAGUUGAGGAACAGAGAGGUCAUGAUAAAAUUAUACCUGUGAAGAAUCUCUCAGUGAUAGGAAGAAUUGUUUUUCUUAGAGCAACCUGUAGAAUAGAGGAGAGGCAAGGUACAAUAUCAAUUGCACUGUGAACUCAAACGACAGCAGAGAAGAUUAAUAAGGAUAUCUGACAUGCAUUCCUAGGAAAAAGCAGAAUGGUUAUCCAUGUGGACUUGGCCCUAGAAUGUCUUUGAUUUGAAUCCUAGCAUUGGCAUUUAUUUUAGAUUACAGUUCUUAUAAUCUAAUCAUUUCAAUCUAAUUAUUGAAUGACUGGCCAACUUACUUUUUAAAAUUUAGUUCCCAUCUCUAUAAAUAAUGAAGAUUCUUAUAUUAUCUGUGUAUUGUGAAGAUUUCUUAAUGCAUGUGCCAAACUGAGUAAAUGUUAACUGAUGAUAAGCCCAUAGAGUCUAACCACUAAAGAGUUUAACUUGUCAAUUCUUAGUUUUAUGAGUAUUAAGGGAAAGGGUCAAAAGUGAUCACAUUUUAAUUGGCAGGCUGUAUUUUGAAACAACAGUAUCAUAUUUUGUAACCAACUGCAUGAGUUGGUAGAUUGUAUGAACUCCCUAUUGGUGAUUAUGGAGCUACUGAAGAAAGUUUGUCACUUCAGUAUGGCAAUGUACUUAACUGUGAUUUUAUCCCAGCACAAGGUGAACAAAACCUACUAUGGUAAGUAUAUGAUUGCCUUUUAAAAUCACUAUCAGUGGUUAGAAGGCACAUAAAUGCAAAUCAGAGUCCUUGCUGCCCCAUCCCCAAUAAACUGGAUUCUGUAGUGCUCUAGAUUGGAGGAUUGUUCUUGCUAUUGGCCAUGAUUGUUAGGCUGGUUUCUAGCUUAAUCCCUGAGCUUAGUUUUUCCUGUAUAUUCUCAAAUUCUGACUUCUGCAAGUGGCAUCCACUCAUGACCUCUGAAGCCUCAGGGCUCACUGGGCCUAGAACAUCAAACAUAUUCAAAAGGAUCCUGGGAUUUGUACCUCUCCAGGAGACAUCCAGGGAGGAUAAAGUUUGGUUGGAGGGGACUUCUGAAUUAACAGGACCUCCUCAGGCCCUGUAUAGGGUGGGAUCAGACCACAAGAUGGAGGAAUGGCUUUACUCCAAGAUUGAUACGGAGCUUAGGACCUGGAACUUGAUUCAUUAUGCCUCCCUUGGCUCCCUGCUACCUAAAUUUUAACUUCCUCACCAAAUCAGUCAGUUAUAAAAAGCAGAUUCAGCUCUAGCCCACAUCUGAGUACUGAGACAUUAUCAUCUAUGCUUGGCAAAAACAGAAGCGUGAAAUGUGAGUCAGUUGUUUUAUUCCAUUUCCUAGUGGAGAGAUGCAGUUUCUCAUCCCGUGUGAAUCCAGUCAUUCAGGAAGAAACUCUCCCAAAGAAUUAUUCAGAUAGUGAUUGUGGCUGCUCCUAAUUAGACACAGGCUGACUCAGGAGGCAGGGACCUGAUGGGGCUGUUGCGCUGUAGCACAGCUGGCUGUUCUUGGCCAUCUCACCAGGCUGGCCUAUUACUCGGUCUCCUAGCACCUGUACCUCUUCCCCCAGCAAAUGAUCACAAUUAUAAUUACUAUCUAUUUAAGUGUACCAAACCAGUUUUCAAUAUCACAAAUCCCCCACUCCUGCCCCGCAAUCCUCAUGGUGGAUUCCAGCUGUUGGAGUGCUUGUCUCUGCCAAAGCCUGAGAUACUGCAGCCAGCAAGGCUGAAAGGAGACUCAGCAAAGCUGAACUGCUCACCAGGUUGGGGAUAGGAAAAUGUAAGUUCCAGAGAGAGGAGGGGAACAGGAAGAAGAGGACAUAUGACUGAAAGGUUCCAGAACAGUGUUCAGGGCAGAAAAGAAUUCAAGAUGGAAAUCAGAUACAUCCUAAGGGAAUUUCGUGGGUUUUGCUGAGUUGUUCCAUUUUACUGAGAUUUUAAGUAGGAGUUUUUUUUAUAAGAUUUCUAUAGUGUUACAGGCAACCGAGCCAAGGGAACUUGCCUGGAUCCCAGCUACUGGUUUCAGCCACCCACCUGCAUAAGAAAUAGGCAAAUGAUAAAAAUAGGUUAGUCGUUUCCCUAUUUCCAUCAUUUGUCUAUUUUUUUUAUGUGAGUGAGUCGAGAUCUAGGCAGGUCCUCUUGACUCAGCUGCAGAUAACAGGAGAUUUUUGUCAGAUUUUGUAUGGGAGUUUCCUAUACAAAAUCUUGGUCAACACCUUUGCUGCCAACAAGCUGUUGGCGUGAAACUGAUGAUCUGUUCUUGGAAAUGAGAGAACGCUGUGUCCUGCAGCAAAGUUAGCAGGAGAUGAAAAAAAGAGGCCCCUUGUGGGGAAAGUGACGUCUGAGUUACUUGUGUAAUUACAGUAUUCAUUUCAUGUUGGUUUCCCUGUCUUUCUAUGAGCCACAUGAGGAUUGGGACUGUCUCUUGUUAGUAUAUCUCCAGUGUCUAGCACAGAGAAGGUACAUAAUAGGUGCUCAAAUAUUUGUUGGAUGAAUCUAUAAAUGAAAUGAUUUGACUCAACAAUUUCUGAUCUCCAACUGAGUGGAAGUCAAAAAGAAAAUGUUCCUUUGCCCAGGAUCCUCAGGGGACAUUAGGAAGCUGAUGAUUUGGCGAAUGGUAGGUCUGACAGCAGCAAAUUUUAGGGCAAUGCUUUCACAAGGACACUCUUUAGCCCUAAUGAGGUGGUUCUGUGGGCUGACAACAUAGCUGGAACACUGUACAUGGGAAAUAAUAUGGGCCAUCAAGAUAGCUAUGGAGGAGGCCAAUCUUCUUUCCAUAAAUAUUAAAGUCACAACAUUGCUAGGUAUUUUGCAUGCUGAUUUAUAAGGCUCUACUUGAAGACAUUCAUAUGUUCUUUCCCUGUUUACCCUCUGGGAACUCCCAUUGUAAAGAGGAAUUGAACUCCUGUUGUACUCAGUCACGACACUUAGGAAGAAAUACAAAAUAUUGUAGUUGCAACAACCUUCAUUUUUUUCCCUUUAGGUUAAAAUGAAACAUAUUAAAUUGAGAAGGAAACUUUACAGGCUUUGUGGUAUCAAUAAAAGAAAAUGGUAAUUUGAACCAGAAAUGUGGGUUGAAAUACCAGCUCAACCACUUAACCAGCUACAUAAAGUUGGAGAAGUAAAUUAAAUGCUUGGAGCUUCAGUUUCCUCAUCUGCAAAUAGGAACAUUAACAUAAUGUAUAUAUGUGACAUUUUGAUGAGAAAUAGCUUUGAUGUAACUUCUUUGGUUUACCCAUUUUCAUAUGACUAAUUUUUACAUUAAAUUUUCAAGCAAAACACACAUAAGAAUUCUUAAUAUAUUCUUGUCACACUGUAAGGCUGUCCCAGUGUCUUAGUCUAUUUUGUGCUGCUAUAACAAAAAUACUUGAGAAUUGGUAAUUUAUAAUGAACAUGAAUUUUUGGAGGGCUGGGAACUCCAAGAUCAAGGGUCUAACAUUUGGAGAUGACCUUCUUGCAGAAGGUGGAAGGACAAGGGAGAGGGAGAGAGAAAAAAAGGGAGUGGAAUAAAGAACAAAUAAAGGGGGUCUAAUGCCCCCUUUUAUAAUGACUCCACUCCUGUGAUACUUGAGUCUCAUGAUGAGUCCAUUAAUUCACUCACUCUGUCUCCGUGGCCUAAUCACCCCCCAUUAGGCCUCACCUUCAAGAAUAUUGCACUGGGGAUUAGGUUCCCACACAUGCUUUCUGAGAGACACAUUCAAGUUAUGGCACCCAGGACAGAAAAUUAGGAGUCAAAGAUGGAUUGAAAGUUAGUUGUUUCUAUUAAGUACAGACCUUGAUAAUUAAGGGGAAAAAAUUAUCACUGAAAAACAACAACCACAACAAAAAAAAUAGCAUCAACUUUCAUAUACCUGAUUAGUGACAUUUACAUGAGUUGAGGUGCUUUGCUUAGGGAAAUAUGUUGAAGGACUUUUGGGGAGUGAGCUUGGUCUGGAAGGAGAGAAAGAGACAGAAAAAGAAAAGGCUGAUUUUUUUUUUUGAAAAAUAAAUAAGAGAUAAUGUGGGAUUUGUUAGGAGCAAUCUAGAAGAAGGAAAGCAAAUGGCUCAGAUGUUAGAAAAGGGGAAGACAGGAGAGACCCAAGAUGGCGAUAAAUUGAAUUCUAAAUAGGAAAAAUAGGUGAGAAAUCCAUGGUGGCAGAGAAAAGGCAGCCUAGGCAGUCUAGAGUGUUCCAAGUCUUUAUUUUAAUAACUGAUUUUGUUUUGUAUAAGUUCUCAAUUUCUGAAAGAAACCAAUAAAAAGAAUAGACUGUAUAAAACCAAUAAUAGUUCAAAUGUAGGUAAUAGCCUUUCUCUAAAGAGAAAGACAUACUUUCUUAAUCUGCAAUAUUUCUUCUUAUUUACAGUUUUGCUCUCAUCUGUCUAGGUGUGGCUUUUGCUUUGCUUAUUCCAGACUCAAUAUGUUCCAUGAUUCUGAGGAUUUAUGUCUUCAAUUCUGAAAAAUUCUCAAGACUAUCUCUUUUCCAGAUUCAUUCUAUUCUUUCUACUUUGUCUUUAUGGAACUCCCAACAGGCAAUAUUGGACUUUAUCUGAGAUCUGAGGUUCCAGAAAAUAGAAAUAAUGAAGAAAUCUCCCCUAUCUUUUGUGUUUGACAAGCAGUAAAUCUCAAAGGACCAUCCUGUCGUUAUAUAGUCCUACAUGAGACACAUCCUAUCCUUACACAUGACUCUCAUGAGACUCUUGGAGACCUUCUUGUUUACCCAAUGCUACAAACUCCAGGCCCCCUCAUUAAAGAACAUUUAUCUAUUGUAAGCCUAAAUAAACUUAUCUCCCUGAUUUUCUGUUAUACUUUGAGUUGUCAUGUUAGACAUGCCAGAUACAUAAAUGAUUAACAUUUGCCCUCAUUUCUCCAUAUUUCUACUUCUAUUUUAUAAUUUCUACCUCUUUAUCUUUCUGUCCUGUAUUAUCAGUAAUUUAUUCAGAUUUAUCUACCAAUUCACUAAUUCUCCAUUCAGUGUCUAACCUGAUGUUUAGACAGGAUUUCAUUUCUAAAAGUUCUAUUUGUUCUUAGUCUCUCCCUUUCUCUCUGCCUAUUCUUACAGACCAUUGUGUUCUUUCAUUAUGAUGUCUUUAUUUAAAAUAUAUAUCCAUUUUUGUUUUAUAAAUUGAUCUUCUUUUUUCUCCAGACCAUGAAAAUGCUGCUUCUCUGGCUUAUUGCAUCUGUCAAUUCUCCCUUAAAGAGAGUGUGGACAAAAUCUGAAGGGAAAGUGUGCUCACUCUGUGGACUCCCUGACACCUGCUAUUUCACUCAGUCUUCCUUCAAGAUGAAAGUAGAGUUUGAAGUGGAACCAUGUUUUUUCAGCCUUUCUGGAGAGUCUACAUGAUUUCAUCCAGGUCAGUUUUGAUGGUAAACUUCUCCUGGCAUAGAUUCUUCCUUUUGUCUCCCAAGUAAUGCAUUUAUUGUGCAUUACUUUUCUCCUCUAGUUUGUAUCACCUUCCAAUAUCUACUCCUGGGCCUCUAUGCCCUUUCAGGUUCCUCUUACUUCUUCCUGUCACCUUGUACAUGAGGUUGAAUAAACAACAGCUCGUUUCCUAAGUGGGACAGUGCCAUGGGAGUUCUCUAAGGGAGAAGAAUUGCCUGGGCUGAAUGAUGUGCUCCAGGAAUUCAAGCCCAAGUCACAGAUUGUCUCCAGCCAUCAUCUGUAGACUGGACACUGUGCUCUUCAUUCUGCUUGCUUUUCUUCUCUUUUGAGGUUGGGAUUCUUCAAGAGAGCACUCUGCUAACUUAUUUCAGGAUGGU